rnacentral:rRNA from 1 species
GCAUAUCAAUAAGCGGAGGAAAAGAAACUAACAAGGAUUCCCCUAGUAACUGCGAGUGAAGCGGGAAAAGCUCAAAUUUAAAAUCUGAUAGUCUUUGGCUGUCCGAGUUGUAAUCUGGAGAAGCGUUUUCUGCGUUGGACCGUGUACAAGUCUCUUGGAACAGAGCGUCAUAGAGGGUGAGAAUCCCGUCUUUGACACGGACUACCAGUGCUAUGUGAUGCGCUCUCAAAGAGUCGAGUUGUUUGGGAAUGCAGCUCAAAAUGGGUGGUAAAUUCCAUCUAAAGCUAAAUAUUGGCGAAGAGACCGAUAGCGAACAAGUACCGUGAGGGAAAGAUGAAAAGCACUUUGGAAAGAGAGUUAAACAGUACGUGAAAUUGCUGAAAGGGAAACGCUUGAAGUCAGUCGCGUUUGCUAGUACUCAACCUGUCUUUUGACUGGUGCAUUUACUAGUGAACGGGCCAGCAUCAGUUUUGGUUGCGGGAUAAAGUCUAGAGAAAUGUGGCAUCUUCGGAUGUGUUAUAGUCUCUGGUCGUAUACCGUGGCUGGGACUGAGGAUCUCAGCACGCCUUUAUGGCGGGGGUUUUACCCACCUUCGUGCUUCGGAUGCUGGCGUAAUGGCUUUAAACGACCCGUCUUGAAACACGGACCAAGGAGUCUAACAUGCCUGCGAGUGUUUGGGUGGAAAACCCGAGCGCGUAAUGAAAGUGAAAGUUGGGAUCUCUGUCGUGGAGAGCACCGACGCCCGGACCAGACCUUCUGUGACGGUUCCGCGGUAGAGCAUGUAUGUUGGGACCCGAAAGAUGGUGAACUAUGCCUGAAUAGGGUGAAGCCAGAGGAAACUCUGGUGGAGGCUCGUAGCGAUUCUGACGUGCAAAUCGAUCGUCAAAUUUGGGUAUAGGGGCGAAAGACUAAUCGAACCAUCUAGUAGCU